AAACACGGUAUAACCCCUUCUUCUUGUGUACUGUGUCUCUCUAUGUCGUUUUCAAUCUCGCCGCAAGCCCGUUUCACCAUCUCGCAGCUGCCGGAGUUCCUCGUCGUCCGCCGGAAACAGUGAAAAACUCGUAUUAUUUUAAAGAUAAAUUGAGAAGAAUUUUGUUAUGAUGAAUCGAAAAUUUGGAGGUGGAAAGAAACCUACUGGAACUCCUUCACUGCCUUGGUCUUGUGUUGUUGUUAUCUGUUCUCUUCUUGCUGGUGCUUCUGUUGUACACAAUAUCUAUAAACCUAAUCUUACAUUGCCCCCAAUUGAUGGAGUUGAUGUGACCAAGAAUAAACUAGAUGAGAAAGAAUUACCAUCUUCUGGUUAGGAAUUAUUUUUUAAUUUCUUGAAGAUAAACAAGUUUUGCGGCCUAAAAAUUUACUGUAUCUGUAAAAUUAAGCCAGAGAUGAAGAGGGUUGUUCUUCCCACAGGGUUACUGUUUGUUAUAUUAGAUACUUAGAUAUAGGAUAUGAGAAUCUUAAUUAGUAUUAUUUUUAAGAUUUUGGUUGGUAAGGACUAAUGCAUGACGAACACUCCUAAUAAUCAUUUUCCAUUGGAGAUAUAAGAGUGGAAGGGAGCAACUUUGCCCCCAA